rnacentral:rRNA from 1 species
UACGUAGGGGGCAAGCGUUGUCCGGAAUCAUUGGGCGUAAAGAGCGUGUAGGCGGCUCGGUAAGUCCGCUGUGAAAGUCCAGGGCUCAACCCUGGAAUGCCGGUGGAAACUGUCGAGCUAGAGUCCGGAAGAGGCGAGUGGAAUUCCUGGUGUAGCGGUGAAAUGCGCAGAUAUCAGGAGGAACACCAAUGACGAAGGCAGCUCGCUGGGACGGUACUGACGCUGAGACGCGAAAGCGUGGGGAGCAAACAGG